GGAUGAAACUGUCGUGCAUGUGAUACUGGUGUGUGGGAGGUACCGGAGAGAAAGGACGGAGAUGAUGAGGGUGGCACUGAGUGAGAUGGGCUGGGAUGUGAAUGGGAGGAUUGCAAGGACAGAGAGGGAAUGGAUGCUGCUGCUGCUGGGACUGAGUGAUGAAGCAAAUGAUAGAAUUAUAGAAGCCAUGAAGAGUUUUCUGGAAAAGAUGUGGUGUGCAAGAAAUAGGGAAUUGGAAGAUUUGUAAUGGAUACUGCUUGUGUUGUUUUAUUUUUACAGGGUGUGCCGAUACGAAGGCCUGACUCUCCAACGGGUCACCUGUACAGCAAGAGCAAGAGCAAGAACAGACACCCUAUGGAGUUAUUCGUGUGCGGUGUGCCAAAGGCAAGCCUGACAGAUGGGAAGCUGGGCGUCGUCCAGACCAAGGUCAACAUGCAGCAGUAAACACUUUUGAAGCUGCGUCGUGGGGGAUUGCCUGUGGCAGGGUGUGUGAAGAGAGGAAGGAAAGGAGGAGGCCAAAAGGGUGCGGGUGAUUUUGACAUGCGGCAGCUUGGGGUCGCCCGCAGGGUCCUCCGCCCCAAGGGAAUGACCAGGACAUGCGCCUCCCCCCGCCAGGCAUGGGGGGGGGGAGGUGGUGGAGGUGGAGCGCCGUCACACCAUGAUAACAGGUUUCCCCGUGACCCGCGUGCCGAUUUCGUUGACCAGCGGGGCAUACAGUGCUUCUGAGAGCCCCCGCCCCAGCCCCGAGACCUGCGGGGUGACCCACUGGACUUGAGGCUGAGUAGCUAGCGUGCGGCCUUGCAUUCUCCCUGGACAGUUCUGCAUCUUUAUAAUUUCCUGUACCUUUCAAUGUUACUUUCACUUUUUUCCUGUCACCAGCGAGGGGCCUAAGACUACCCACAUGCUGUCCUGAAGACCACCCAGCAACCCGGACUCUAGAGGAAACCGCCCAAGUAAAUCAAGAAUGAGUUCCGGGGGGCAGCAUGAGUCAAGAUUAAAUGGCGUCACUAUAAAAAUUGCCUGCGCCAUGACGGGCU